GCAGUCCAAGAAUAUUAGUCAAUGCUCGCAAGAGUGAACGAGCUAACUGAAAGAAUAUAUAAUCUAAAGUUAGGAAUCUUAUAAUUAUUAUUAUAAGUUUAAAUACGAAUCUAACUAACAGUGUCGUCCAAAUUCUGGUGCCAGAAGACUCGGUAAUACCAGAGACGCGAACGUUAAUCAUCUUGAAUGGGCAUAAAGGGUUUGUAGGCGGCUUAUUUAUUAAUAGGCUAGAAUCUUAUAGAGGUUAAUAAAAUACUUAGAGGAGGGCUGAUAUCCUUAGAUCCUAAGUGGAAUCCUAAUUGCGAAGGCCAUUUUCCACUACAGAUUGACGCUGAUACACGAAGGUUAGGAUAGGAACUAGGAUUAGAGACCCUAUUACCCCUAACUGUAAACGAUGAAUGGAAGAUAUUUACAACUGUAAGUGUCGAAGUGAAUACGAUAACCAUUCCGCCUUGCUAGUAUACUUGCAAAAGUGAAAACAAAAAAAUUAGUCGGUCCUAAAGCAAACGAAGUGAAGCAUGUUAUUUAAUUC
rnacentral:rRNA from 1 species